AACGAACGCUGGCGGCAGGCCUAACACAUGCAAGUCGAACGCCCUAGCAAUAGGGAGUGGCGCACGGGUGCGUAACGCGUGGGAAUAUGCCCUUCACUGCGGAAUAACGUUUGGAAACGAACGCUAAUACCGCAUAAUGACUCCGGUCCAAAGAUUUAUCGGUGAAGGAUUAGCCCGCGUUAGAUUAGCUAGUUGGUGAGGUAAUGGCUCACCAAGGCGACGAUCUAUAGCUGGUCUGAGAGGAUGAUCAGCCACACUGGGACUGAGACACGGCCCAGACUCCUACGGGAGGCAGCAGUGAGGAAUAUUGGACAAUGGGCGCAAGCCUGAUCCAGCCAUGCCGCGUGAGUGAAGAAGGCCUUCGGGUUGUAAGACUCUUCAGAUGUGAAGAUAAUGACGGUAGCAUCAG
rnacentral:rRNA from 1 species